ensembl:lncRNA novel transcript
GCUGCUCUGUGCAGUUACGAUGCUGCACUGCCACAGUAACCUUCUCCCUCUGUGGUGAUCCAAUAUUCUACCAUAUGUCAGCAAAACUAUUCCAGCCCGGCCCUUUCAACUCUCCCGAAUCUAAGCCAACAGUCAAGGUACUAUGAAGACGUCAGGCGUAUGGAAAUAACAGAUGGGAAAGGCGAGCAGAGAUCAUUACUCUGAACUGUCUUGGAUGUCCCUGGGCAAUGCUAAGCUAACAUUCAGCAGUGUCUACAAGAUGACACACAACAUGUUGAAAGAAUGGAGCGGUGAUUCCCUUGGAAGGAUGUGAAAAGCUUUCCAAUCUCGAGGUGAUAUCAGAGCUCUUUCCCAUUGAAACACUUGGAUGCUCUUUCUCCAGCUAUCAUGCUCUCUUUUUUCCACUCAAGAAAAGAAGAGAAUGCAGGUUCCCACAGAUACUGCAAGCCCCCUCAAGCUUAGGCAGUGGCCCUAACUUAGAUCUCUCUUCCUUCUAGAUCAACACAGCUG